rnacentral:rRNA from 1 species
UGGGAAUCUUCCACAAUGGACGCAAGUCUGAUGGAGCAACGCCGCGUGAGUGAAGAAGGGUUUCGGCUCGUAAAGCUCUGUUGUUAAAGAAGAACGUGGGUAAGAGUAACUGUUUACCCAGUGACGGUAUUUAACCAGAAAGCCACGGCUAACUACGUGUCAG